GUUGGUUGGUUGGUUGGUUGGUUGGUUGGUUGGUUGGUUAUUUAUUUAUUUAUUUAUUUAUUUAUUUAUUCAGAUAACGAAUAUUCAUUGAACUUGUAAGAUGCUGCUGCUCUUCAAAGAAAAUGUUUAUAUGCAUGAAAACUGUAGAGAGUCCAUGGGACUUACAAUAGUUUUUAAAGAGGAACAAUGUACAGCAUCACCGCAAGCCCAGGUCCAGCCAAGCAAUGCUCAACUUCCCCCCAUGGCAAUAACUGUGUGGACAUGUACAACAAUCACAGCUGUCCCGUUAUCACUCAGUUUAGGGCAAUAAAAAGAAAAGAAUGACAAUGAAACGCCACAACAUUCUCCCCAUCUUGUCCCCAAAAGUCAGAUGGAUGCUCCUCCUCAGGACCAGCACUUUCCAACUCAGGCAAUGACAAAGCCCUUGACUCAGACUGCGAGUUCAUGUCGCCCACCGACGGCGCGCCAAUCGUCUUUCGAGUCUUUCGUGGUUUUCCAGAGCGGCCGCAUGAGAACGGUGACGGACUUGGGUGAGGCACAUUUAGCGCCAUUCGAUCGGCCACAGCAUCAACUGUGGAUCUGCGUGAAGCAGCACCCACCUCGGAUAUUUAGGCGGCAGAGCGUGGGAGGAUAACAGGUGUCUGCAGACAGACUGCAGAUAGGAAGCCUAACUGAGUUGGUGAGCAAGCUCCAAGGGGACGAAGGUCAAGGGCCAGCAGGCAAGUGCACUGUUGUCAGCUAUUUGCAUAUUUCAAAGGGAUGAAACAAAAGCAAGCAAGCCCAAAACACCCUGCACAUGUGGGUUAGGGUUAGGCAGGAGCAAAAGCAAGCCCAAAACACCCUGCACAUGCGGGUUAGGCUUAGGCAGGAGUAAAAGCAAGCCCGAAACACCCUGCACAUGCGGGUUAGGGUUAGGCAGGAGCAAAAGCAAGCCCGAAACACCCUGCACAUGCGGGUUAGGCUUAGGCAGGAGCAAAAGCAAGCCCGUAACACCCUGCACAUGCGGGUUAGGGUUAGGCGGGAGCAUAAGCAAGCCCAAAACACCCUGCACAUGCGGGUUAGGCUUAGGCAGGAGUAAAAGCAAGCCCGAAACACCCUGCACAUGCGGGUUAGGGUUAGGGUUAGGCAGGAGUUUCCGCUCCGUUUAUCCAUCCACUUGUCUCGGUACCACAGCUGAAUCCCUGCGUGAGAGCGCCCCGACCACCUGUCUCCAAAAAGCAUCAUUUGGCACAUGGCUCAAUUAUUGAAGUGUAAACAAAUCAUUGGUCGCGUUGCGCUCUCGCUGACGGUAGGAGAAGCUCAAGAUGCUUUGCCACGGCAAUUUCAUACGGACUGAGUUGCAAAAGAAAACGUUUCAACCCUCUUUUCAUUUGUGGACGUGCAGGCUUAGGGUUAGCAGCGGGUCAGAGCGCAGAGGAUAACUUGAUUCUUCCUUUCCAAAUUGAGACAAGCUGCAGCAUUGUUCCUCUUUGACAAAUGUGUACAUAGAAUUGUAAAUACAUCACAGCAA